AGUGAACGUUGGCGGCGUGCCUAACACAUGCAAGUCGUACGCCCCAUAAGCAGCUUGCUGCUUAUGGGGAGUGGCGGACGGGUGAGUAACACGUGGGUAACCUACCCUCGAGUGGGGGAUAACCUCGCGAAAGCGGGGCUAAUACCGCAUAAUACCCUGUGGCCUAAGCCAUCAGGGUCAAAGCCUUCGGGCGCUUGAGGAUGGGCCCGCGGCCUAUUAGCUUGUUGGUAGGGUAACGGCCUACCAAGGCGACGAUGGGUAGCCGGCCUGAGAGGGUGUCCGGCCACACUGGGACUGAGACACGGCCCAGACUCCUACGGGAGGCAGCAGUGGGGAAUCUUGCGCAAUGGGCGAAAGCCUGACGCAGCGACGCCGCGUGGGGGAUGACGGCCUUCGGGUUGUAAACCCCUGUCAGAGGUGAAGAAAGCCCUUCGGGGCCUGACGGUAACCUCAGAGGAAGCCCCGGCCAACUACGUGC
rnacentral:rRNA from 1 species